CCCUUAGAUGUUCUGGGCCGCACGCGCGCUACACUGACGAAGUCAGCGAGCAUGUCCUACGCCGACAGGUGCGGGGAAUCUUGUCAAACUUCGUCGUGAUGGGGAUUGAUUAUUGAAAUUCUUGAUCAUCAACGAGGAAUUCCUAGUAAGCGCAAGUCAGCAGCUUGCGUUGAUUACGUCCCUGCCCUUUGUACACACCGCCCGUCGCUACUACCGAUUGAAUGGUUUAGUGAGAUCUUCGGAUUGGCGCCACUGCGGCUCAGCAAUGGGCUCGGUGGAUGCCGAAAAGUUGAUCAACUUGAUCAUUUAGAGGAAGUAAAAGUCGUAACA
rnacentral:rRNA from 1 species